AUUGAACGCUGGCGGCAGGCCUAACACAUGCAAGUCGCGCGAGCGGCGGACGGGUGAGUAAUGUAUGGGGACUGCCCGCUAGAGGGGGAUAACUAAUGGACAAGGUGGCUAAUACCGCAUACUAUCGGAUAACCCAUAUGGGAUUAGCUAGUAGUUGGGGUAACGGCUCACCUAGGUGACGAUCUCUAGCUGGUCUAAGAGUAUGAUCAGCCACACUGGGACUGAGACACGGCCCAGACUCCUACGGAGGCAGAAGUGGGUAAUAUUGGACAAUGGGCGAAAGCCUGACGCAGCCAUGCCGCGUGUAUGAAGAAGGCCUUAGGGUUGUAAAGUACUUUCAGCGGGGAGGCGUUACCCGCAGAAGAAGCACCGGCUAACUCCGUGCCAGCAGCCGCGGUAAUUC
rnacentral:rRNA from 1 species